AGAGUUUGAUCAUGGCUCAGAAUCAACGCUGGCGGCGUGCCUAACACAUGCAAGUCGAACGAGAAAGUGGAGCAAUCCAUGAGUAAAGUGGCGACCGGGUGAGUAACACGUGACUAACCUACCCUGAAGUGGGGAAUAACCUCGGGAAACCGGGGCUAAUACCGCAUAACAUUGCGCGGCUGAAAUGCCAUGCAUUCAAAGGAGCAAUUCGCUUUAGGAGGGGGUCGCGGUUGAUUAGCUAGUUGGUGAGGUAACGGCUCACCAAGGCGAUGAUCAAUAGCCGGCCUGAGAGGGCGCACGGCCACACUGGAACUGAAACACGGUCCAGACUCCUACGGGAGGCAGCAGUGGGGAAUUUUGCGCAAUGGGGGAAACCCUGACGCAGCAACGCCGCGUGGAGGAUGAAGUCCCUUGGGAUGUAAACUCCUUUCGACCGGGACGAUUAUGACGGUACCGGGAGAAGAAGCCCCGGCUAACUUCGUGCCAGCAGCCGCGGUAAUACGAGGGGGGCAAGCGUUGUUCGGAAUUAUUGGGCGUAAAGGGAGCGUAGGCGGUUCGGUAAGUCACUUGUGAAAUCUCUGGGCUCAACUCAGAGUCUGCAAGCGAAACUGCCGGGCUGGAGUAUGGGAGAGGUGAGUGGAAUUCCUGGUGUAGCGGUGAAAUGCGUAGAUAUCAGGAGGAACACCUGUGGCGAAAGCGGCUCACUGGACCAUUACUGACGCUGAUGCUCGAAAGCUAGGGGAGCAAACAGGAUUAGAUACCCUAGUAGUCC
rnacentral:rRNA from 1 species